UACGGAGGGCGCAAGCGUUAUCCGGAUUCACUGGGUUUAAAGGGUGCGUAGGUGGGUCUGUAAGUCAGUGGUGAAAUCUCCGGGCUUAACCUGGAAACUGCCAUUGAUACUAUAGGUCUUGAAUUUUCUGGAGGUUAGCGGAAUAUGUCAUGUAGCGGUGAAAUGCUUAGAUAUGACAUAGAACACCAAUUGCGAAGGCAGCUAACUACGGGAGCAUUGACACUGAGGCACGAAAGUGUGGGGAUCAAACAGG
rnacentral:rRNA from 1 species